rnacentral:lncRNA from 1 species
AAUCUGAAUACACUCAAAGAUAGUAUUGAAGACACUCAGAAACAAUGUCUGCCUUAAUACUUCACACACAUUAGAUGCUAAAUCAACAGUAAAUGUCAACACCAUAAAAUAUGAGCAGAAGGAAAAUUAAUAGCAUUCAGUGUGCUGUACACAUGAAGUUGACUACAAGGAACUUGAGGAGGUUGCCCAUUAAUGCCACUCCUGUUGACCUGAUACCUCUGUGUCCUCAUAGCCACAAAGGCAGACACACUUUAAGGUGACCCCAGGAGUCAACUCUCUUUUUGUUCAAGCCUGUGCAAUCACCUGUUGAAUGUGGAUAAGACCUGUGGCUUGCUUCUAAUCAGUGGAAUA